CUUGGAUAGCAAAUGUUUACGGGCUCUGUCUUGUAUUCGUAACUAUCUUUUCACGCGUCCUCCAAAUCGGAGCUUCAAGUCUUGCAAAGCUACGGAAAGCACGAAGAAAGGAAAACCACGCCAACUAUCCCAAAAAAACCCCACAAACGACAACAACGUGAUUUUGCCAUUUUUCGACCACAGCUGAAGAGAAAAAAAUCACAACUAGUGCACAUUCUCCAGAAAGGCACACAGUAUUCCGAGGUUGACGUUCUCAUCGAUACUUCUUGUGCGGCCAUACAAUGUUUUUUUUGCUUAGCAUCUCAUAAAGGUGACUUAACUGUGUUCGCAGUAAAAAACAACUUUAUUUUUACUGUUUUGGGUGUACAAGAAAGUAGAUCCUCCGCAAAAUUGCUGACGUAAUAAUCGUAGGUAUUAUUCCUCUGAAUUAUAUUCACAAUGAGGACGUAUUUGAUACCAUAAAUACACAUUUCUGCAAUUUCAAUGUCCCAUAACAAUGCCCUGGCAUGCAUGGCUUUUUUUUGUUCUGGAUCAGGAUAUCUGUGAAACAGAUGGUUUCCUCCUCCAGCCCUUCCACAUCUUCAUCAGUUUCCUAGAGCUAUAGGACACAGUCUUCCACAUGCCUGUGCAGGGGGACCCACACAUUUAUCAUCACUAUACACAUAAUUUCAAAGCAUGUGCGAUACAAAAAAAGCUUACCGGCUGUCGCAAUGCCUUUGAUGCUUUGUGUUACACUGGAGGUCUUCACAAUAGAGGCGAUGCCUAUGAAACAUAAUUUGAUAUGUGAAUAACAAAAAAAAGAUGCUUAUAGACGGCGCCCUCUGCUGGUCUUAAGGUAGAAUUGCCGUCCAACAUUAACAUUCUUUCAUACAAAGACCAUCCAUCCAUCCAUUUUCUAACGUUUUAUUCCCUUUGGGGUCGCGGGGGGCGCUGGUGCUUAUCUCAACUACAGUGGGGCGGAAGGCGGGGUACACCCUGGACAAGUCGCCACCUUAUCGCAGGGCCAACACAGAUAGACAGACAACAUUCACACUCACAUUCACACACUAGGGCCAAUUUUAGUGUUGCCAAUCAACCUAUCCCACAAAGACCAAACCGGGUUAAAAGGCAGUGUCCAGUCACCUUGUUGUACAACACUUCCACAAUCUGGGUCCUGAGCGACUUGCAGAAGGAUCUCCUCCACGUCUCGGUUCUUCCCUGGAGGAUCAACCAGCUUGGUGAUCCUUUGCUGUAAAGUGCGGGGCAGCGCCAUCAACUGCGUGAACUGCCCUUCGGGGCUUUUGUCUACCUGGAGAGACACAGACAAGUGCUUUAAAAUAAAAAUAAAAACACUUCCCCGUUGGUUUUGCUCCAUAGAGCUUGUUGUUUUUCACCUCCAGUCUUCCUUGUUGGGGUUUGUAGACCACUUGAGGACAGUCCCGCAAGAUGUGAUUAUACAGAAUACGAAAGUGCUCAAUGUUGUCUCUCACGAUGUUGGCCACCUUGGAUUUAUCCUCUCCAAUCACCAUCCUGAAAUCACCUUGAGAGGGCCAGACCAAAUGUUUUCCAUGAUGGAUGGGAAAUGUCACGUGGAACAGCUGCGGCUGCUUCAUCCAUCAGUUUAAUGAGUUUCCAUGGUAUGCAUUGUGACUGGGCUCAAAACAUAUUUUUCAGUCUAUAAGGCACACUUAAAAUCCUUUUCAUUUUCUCAAAAAUCAACAGUGCGCCAUAUAACCGCAUAAUGUACGGCAUAAUUCUGUUUGUGCUUACUGACCUCGAAGCAAUUUUAUUUGGUACAUAAUGUAAUGAUAAAGGAAACCAGUAGAUGGGAGUCAUACAUAAGAUAUACGUGUAGACUGCAAUAUGAUGGCAGUAAACAACACCAAAACUUUAAACAUUUUCCAUUGAGAAUACAGAACAUUACACACGGUGCUUAAAAUUAGGGGCGCCCGAUAAUAUCGGACUGCUGUUAUCGGCCGAUAAAUGCUUUAAAAUGUAAUAUCGGAAAUGAUCGGUAUCUGUUUUAAAAAAAAGUAAAGUUUAUGACUUUUUCCAAACACCGCUGUGUACACGGAUGUAGGGAUAAGUACAGAGCGCCAAUAAACCUUAAAGGCACUGCCUUUGCGUGCCGGCCCAAUCACAGAAUAUCUAUGGCUUUUCACACACAAAAGUGAAUGCUAUGCAUACUUGGUCAACAGCCAUACAGGUCAUACUGAAGGUGACUGUAUAAACAACUUUAACACUGUUACAAAUAUGCGCCACACUGUGAACCCACGCCACACAAAAAUUACAAACAUUUCGGAAGAACAUCCGCACCGUAACACAACAUAAACACAACAGAACAUAUACCCAGAACCCCUAGCAGCACUAACUCUUCCGGGAUGCUACAAUAUACACCCCCCACAACCCCGCCCACCUCAACCUCCUCAUGCUCUCUCAGGGAGAGCAUGUCCCAAAUUCCAAACUACUGUUUUUAGGCAUAUUAAAAAAAUAGUGCACUUUGUGACUUCAAUAAUAAAUAUGGCUGUGCCAUGUUGGCAUUUUGUUUCCAUAACUUGAGUUGAUUUAUUUUGGAAAACCUUGUUACAUUGUUUAAUGCAUCCAGCGGGGCGUCACAACAAAAUUAGGCAUAAUAAUAAUGUGUUAAUUCCACGACUGUAUAUAUCGGUAUCGGUUGAUAUCGGAAUCGGUAAUUAAGAGUUGGACAAUAUCGGAUAUCGGCAAAAAAAUCCAUUAUCGGAUAGCUCUAAUAAAAAUCUGUCAAUAUGUAACCUGCUAUUUGGUGGAAGUAAGGACCAUAUUUUCCGGACUAAAAGGCGCACUUAAAAUAAUAUUUUUUUUCCUCAAAACUCAAUAGUUCUAGUUUUGCUUACUGACCUCUAAGCCAUGUUAUUCAGUACAUGAUGUUAAGUGUGAUCAGUAGAUGGCAGUCAAACAGAGAUAUGUGUCGACUGCACUAUGAUAGCAAUAUGACUCAAGUAAACAACACCAACAUUGUAUUUGUUCAAUUGAGAAAAUAGAACAUUCCACAUGGCGCUUUAAAAUCUAUCAAAAUGUUUUAUACGACUUCGGUAAGCUAUGCAGCUGCACCGUUUGAUGGUUUGUCAGCGCAUUAAACAUACGAGUAUUAUUAAGGUGCGUGUUUAAGGACCGCAAAAUAGCACCAAUCAAGAGACAUAUUACCUGCCGUUUUGAUUUGCAAUAUUAUGUAAAACAACUUUUCUUACCUUCUGGUACCUGCUGAUGUUUAUUUGGGAUCUGCAUAAGUCCUAAAAAUGUGCGCGCGUCCGCCGUUGUAGUCCAUACCGACACCGUAGUCAUAAGCUUCUUGUUUUUUCUACCUUCUUAUGUGACAUUCAUCUUCCGCUGUUGCCAUUUCUAAUAUAAAGUACUGUAAAGUUCUUACUUAUAUCUGUCAAGAGACCAGCUAUCAAAGCGUUAAAAACUGUGGUGCGUUUAUAUAAUUCACCAACAGAACUUUAGUUAUCAGAGGGUUCCGGUCGGACGUUUUUCCACGGGACAUAUUUCCGGCGUUGUUGUUGCAUUAUUGAGCCACGGAUGAGGAGAUGCUGUUUCGUUAUUGAUUUACAUAAAGUCUGAAUGUCAUUAAAACACUUAGCACCAUUUUUGACACUUCUUCCACUGCCGUCCUUGCACGCUACACCGCUACAACAAAGAUGACGGGGAGAAGACGCAGUUGAAGGUGAGCCACGUAAAUAAGACCGCCAACAAAACGGCGCAUUCUGAAGAGACGUUCACAAAGCGGCUUGAAGAUGAUCAGUAAAACAAUCUAUGCAACAUUUUGACCAACGAACCACCAUUACAUGUUAUGUAGAGCACAAGAUAGUGUUUUAAAUUCAGAAAAAAAAACAUAAUUACUCCUUUAAUGCGCCUUUUGAAUGAAAAAACACCUGAAUAGCCAUCGGCAGUGCGACUUUUAAUCCGGUGCGCCCUAUGGUUCGAAAAAUUUGGUAGAUUCUCAAUGUGAUAAUUAAUGAUGAUUUAAUUCACGCAGUCAUCCAACCCUCCCAGCUACACAGCUGUUAAACGUUAGAGGAAAAUGUGUUUAGCUGUGACAAUACUUUACCAGCAUAAGAAAGGCCAGCUAUCUGCAGGAAAAGUUCCUCCUGGCUGAAACUCUCAGGCAGCAUAAGGAAGGAGGCCGUCACCGCGCUCUUGAGGUUGGCGACCAGAGCGGCACGGAGCUUUCCAUUCUCACUCUGCAACAGCAUCUUCACCUGCAUAGAAGAAUGUGCGUAGAUACUCAUUUGCGGAGCGGAUGUUCCGAUACCUACUGAAAUAUCAAUACUGCAGAUAUCAAAUCUUUAUGUUCUAAUAUUGAUCCUCAAAUCAAAAUAUUGAUACUUUUAAUUAGAGAUGUCCAGAGAUUGCUGGAGAUGGCUACCUCCGAAUAUCCGUACUCUGAGUGGGAAAACGCUGCUCAGAUUUAUCGCUAAGUCAUAAAUGGUAUAAAACCAGCCAGCUUUGAUAAAGUGAAUGACCCUGAGGUUAAAUAGAUAAUUCAAGAUUGUAUGUCGGCAUGUUUAAAAAAUAAAUAAUAAUAAUGCACUUUGUGAUAGCCAAAGUAUAGUAUUUCCCAUAGUUGUAGUGGGUGUCAGGAUUAUGAGCAUGUCCCAAGUUCCAAGCUGCUGUUUUGAGGCAUGUUAAAAAAAAAAAUGCACUUUGUGACUUCAAUAAUAAAUAUGGCAGUGCCAUGUUGGCACGUUUUUCCAUAACUUGAGUUGAUUUAUUUUGGAAAACCUUGUUACAUUGUUUAAUGCAUCCAGCGGGGCAUCACAACAAAAUGUGUCAAUUCCACGACUGUAUACAUCGGUAUCGGUUGAUAUCGCAAUCUGUAAUUAAGAGCUGGACAAUAUCGGAAUAUUGGAUAUCGGCAAUAAAAGCAUAUCAUCUCUACUUUUAAUACUUUAGUUCAGGGGUGUCCAAUCUUUUUCCACUAAGGGCAGCAUACUGAAAAGUGAAGGUAAGUGGGGCCAUAUUAAAUUUUUUCAUUUAAAAAAAAAAUGCUGAAAACAGAUAUUUUGUUUAGAAUAUUUAAACUUUUUCUCACUAGUUAUCAAUUUUUUUUCUCUUUUUUUCUUACAUUUUUACUAGUGUUUUUCUCCACUGCAAGAAUACAAUAAAAAAAAAAAUAAUACGAUUGUUUAACUGCAUAACCUACUGUUCUAAAAGUUCUGCCUGUACAAAAAUAUCAGAUACACAUUAAACAGUGUUUUUUAUUUUUCAAAUUAAUUCAAAAGUUAAUAUUAUUGUAUUUUUUACCUAAAAAUCAAACAUUGUUUGUAUUUUGAGAAUUUUUUAUUUUUUUUGAGAAGGUGUUUUAGGUCAGGGGUGUCUAAACUUUUUCCAUCAGGGGCCGUCCUAAGUGAUUUCUCCAAAUUACAACUGGGCUUCGUUGUGAUGAAACCACAGGAACGGGUUGUUCUACCAGUAGUUUGUCAACUUGACGGCCACAUUUAGCCGUGUUGUUAGCAUUGCAUGUCAUUCUACAUCGCUCCUGCAAAAGGCUGACUAAUGUCAUGUGGAGCUGAUGGUGUCAAUAAAGAAGUUAAUCAACAGCAUUUACAGUAUCUCCACUUAGCAUUACCAGCUGCUGACAGCGGUCUCUCAGUCACACCGAGUCCUGGUGAGCUUCGCGUUGCGUCUUUUGACGUUGUUCGCGUCAAAGGCUCAUUAAUGUGGAGAUGUGUUGUUGAUGAAGCAGGAGUUGAAGAUGAAGUCCAUUAAAAAGUUGUUCUGCCGAAAGCUGGUUGAGCUACAUUGUCGCAGUGAAGAAAAGUAGCGCUAAGAUUAGCCGCCUGUCAUCAGCAUUGCUCACCCUCAACCUGGAAAAGCAAUUCCCGCUUGGUGAAUAUCUUCAUCAAUCAUAACUAUAUCUUCAUCAAUCAUAACUAUAAUAAUGCAAGCUUAUGACUACGGCGUCGGUAUGGACUACAACGGCGGACUCGCGCACAUUUUUAGGACUUAUGCAGAUCAUCUUACUUAUAUCUGUCAAGAGACCAGCUAUUAAAGCGCUAAAAACUGUAGUGCGUGUACAUAAUUCACCCACGGAACUUUAGUUAUUAGAGGGUCAUGUUGGACCUGCUCGACAUCCAUUGCUUUCCUCCUCUCCAAGGUUCUCAUAGUCAUCAUUGUCACCGACGUCCCACUGGGUGUGAGUUUUCCUUGCCCUUAUGUGGGCCUACCGAGGAUGUCGUAGUGGUUUGUGCAGCCCUUUGAGACACUAGUGAUUUAGGGCUAUAUAAGUAAACAUUGAUUGAUUGAUUGAAUGAUGUUUUAAUAAUAAGGUUUCUCAUUUUCCCAUUGGGUUGAGUUUUUCCUUGCCCAACGAGGAUGUUGUUGUGGCUUGUGCAGCCCAUUGAGACACUCGUGAUUUAGGAAUAUAUAAAUAAACAUUGUUAAUUGAAUAAUAAUAAAAAAUAGGAAAACACCCCACUGUAGUACAUGAAAGGACAAAUCGAAUUUAAUUCAAUACUUUAAUUUCAGCCUUUAAUAUGUAAAAUAUGCUCAAUGUUUUUUCUAAAUUCACGCCGAAAUAUUUUAAGUACAAUAUGGAGAGGGACAACUGUAUUGUUCUUUAGAAUUAAUCCAAGAAAAAAAAAAAAGCAGAUAUGACAAAGUUGCAGCAUUUUAAGAGUAAAGUUGUUCAGUUACCAAGGGGGAAAUUUCCGUGUAAAAUUAAGUCGUUAUUUUAAUCCCCCAAUUUUUUUUAUAAAGUCACAAUUAAGCCCUAAUUUUGCAGACUGAACGUGGUAAAAUCCAAUCUUUGUCUCACUACUUGCUUUAUAAUAGCUGGGUAAUAUCAUAAAUAAAUAAUUAAAUAAAUAUUUUCUCAGAAAAAUAUGUUUCUUUGCAUAACAGUGACUUUAUCCUCAUAAAUGUAGGAUUUUUAUGUAGUAAAAAACAAAGCUUUGUUCCUUUUUACUGGUAAUAACACAACUUUAAAAAAAAUAGAAUAUGAUUUUUUUUUUCCUCCUGUUGAAUUCCUCCUGAAGAAUACAAUGAUUUGCGAAUCCUUUACAACCUAUAUUCAUAUGAAUAGACUACAAAGACAAGAUACUUAACGUUCGAACUGAGAAACGUUGUUAUUUUUUGCAAAUAUUAGCUCAUUUGGAAUUUGAUGACUGCAACAUGUUUCAAAAAAGCUGGCACAAUUGGCAAAAAAGACGGAGAAAGUUCAGGAAUCCUCAUCAAACACUGAUUUGGAACAUCCCAAAAAAUGAUUAUUUGCAAGUUUCUCAGUUGGAACAUUAAAUAUC